UGUCUGCCAAUGUCUUUCCAGUGGUUUAAUAUUCAAAUGGCACAUUGUUUUCCUUUUGUGGCCUGACCUUGGACACAGAUUAAAGUUGAAAUCUUUACUAAAUUAUUUUUCCAUUUCUUCUUUGAGAGUUUUAUAAACUGCCAGCCUCCUUUUGGAAGAAUUAAAAUCUCUCUAACCAGCACCAAAACUCCUUUGGGAUAAACUGAGCAGGACUCUAAAGCUAGGCAUGGCAUCUUUGCUGUCCUGAAUGGGAGAUCAAGGCAGUUGAAUCAAGGUACCGGAUAUUCUUCCGCUUCUAAACCAUAAGACUAGAGGCUGGCACUGUCUCAGCUAUUUCUGACUGGAAGGAACUAAGUCUGCUCAGACACUAAACGCUGUUACCAGCCAAGUUGCCUCGUUGCCACUGACAGUCUUGGCACCGGACCUGUACCAAGUUCAGUAACAGGAUUAGCACCUUAACAGAACUAGCCCCGCAAUACUGGCAAUCUCUGAAUGUACCACUGAGCAGUUUGUACCACUUUUAGAUUUAAGGUGCCUUCUCCUCUAUCAGUCUCAAGGAAUCCCCAAAGAAAUCAAAAUUACUACAGAAAAUCAAAUCUUACUUAAGAAGUGUCAUUUCUAUUUAAUUCCCAAAUGCAGGCGCUCUCCCACCUCCCAGAGGAUUUGCACUAGCACUGAGAGUCUGUGCACCUGUUACUAGAAGGAAACAUUUUGGCCGGUCGUCGGAUUUUCCUCCUAGCGGGGCGGAGACCUGCUGACUACUCAUUAACGAUGAAGUCCUGCUUCUUGCAGAACAACACCUCGCCCUUUCUUCUUUUUCGCAGCAGCCCGUUCUACAUCUCUGUGCAAACAAAAGAAUACAGUCGUUUUGAAGCUAAAAUACAUGAUUUACGGGAGCAGAUGAUGAACAGUAGCAUUAGCUCAGGAUCUGGAUCUCUACGAACCAGCCAAAAGAGAUCCUUAUAUGUUAGGUAAGAAAGUGUCCCCAAAUGUCAUCAGAUUUCUCCAAUAUUUAUUCCCCUUCCCUUCCCACCCCCUCCCACACACCCCUGUCAUCUUUAAUUCUACAUCCAAGUUUUUAUGGCCGCCAUUUAUUCAGUAAUGAAUUGAACAAAAUGCAAACUUCCAAACUUUCCAAUAGGUCAGUAAUAUUGUGUAAUUAGAUUUGCAGUAAAUUAAAUGUACCUGAAAAAGACAUUUUCAUUACUUGCAUAUUAAGCACCCAAAUUGCACUUUACCAGGCUUUGGUGAUCUUCAUCAUCCUGGUUGCCUGUCAAGGGAAAAAAACAUCCAUAAUUUUACUGCCCUUUUUUUUCCUUAAGUAUCUUUUCAGCAAUUGCUGCAAAUGCUCUUAAGUUGAUUUAAAUAUGUGGAAUGUUGAUUAAGAAAUGUGUUUAAUACUAUUCGUGCUGCUUAAGUUUUCAUACUUGCUGUAUAACAUGGUAAGUCCCUUAAUAAUUGAAGGGAGAGUAUUUUGAAAAUCAAAACUUCCUUUUAAUAUUAUGUAAAUACACACUCAUUUGGAAUCAUUUGGCACGUAACCCAUUUCAUUCAGCCUGAUUCAGUUACGUAUUAGGAUUAAGAAAAAUCAUAAUUCUGCAUCUGUGAUAUCACUGGAUAUAAAUGUGCAUUUUAAACCUCCUAAUGGCUCAUCAUUUGUCAUGUCAUGUAAAUUAAAGAGUAUGAAUAUAAACUGUCAUCCUCCCAACUGGAAAUGGAGCCAUUGAUCUACGUUACGGUAGUUUUACCUAGUCUGUAUUUCCUUUCAGUAACCUCAGGGAUUCAGUUGCAACAGUGCCACAUUUUCAGAAAAGGCAGUUUUGCAUCAGAGUAUCAUCUCUUUAAACUACUAACUAAUAAAAAUCAAGAGCAUUUGCUCA
rnacentral:lncRNA from 1 species